AGAGUUUGAUCCUGGCUCAGGAUGAACGCUAGCGGCAGGCCUAACACAUGCAAGUCGAGGGGCAGCGGGAGUGCUUGCACUCGCCGGCGACCGGCGCACGGGUGCGGAACGCGUAUCGAAUCUGCCUCUAUCUGGGGGAUACCCCAUGGAAACGUGGAAUAAUACCCCAUAGUAUUACUUUAUCGCAUGAUUUAGUAAUUAAAGAAUUUCGGAUAGAGAUGACGAUGCGUAUCAUUAGCUAGUAGGUAAGGUAACGGCUUACCUAGGCAACGAUGAUUAGGGGUCCUGAGAGGGAGAUCCCCCACACUGGUACUGAGACACGGACCAGACUCCUACGGGAGGCAGCAGUGAGGAAUAUUGGACAAUGGUCGAAAGACUGAUCCAGCCAUGCCGCGUGCAGGAUGAAUGCCCUAUGGGUUGUAAACUGCUUUUAUACGGGAAGAAAAACACCUACGUGUAGGUGACUGACGGUACCGUAAGAAUAAGGACCGGCUAACUCCGUGCCAGCAGCCGCGGUAAUACGGAGGGUCCAAGCGUUAUCCGGAAUCAUUGGGUUUAAAGGGUCCGUAGGCGGGCUAUUAAGUCAGAGGUGAAAGUUUGCAGCUCAACUGUAAAAUUGCCUUUGAUACUGAUAGUCUUGAAUUGUAGUGAAGUGGUUAGAACAUGUGGUGUAGCGGUGAAAUGCAUAGAUAUCACAUAGAAUACCGAUUGCGAAGGCAGAUCACUAACUAUAUAUUGACGCUGAGGGACGAAAGCGUGGGGAGCGAACGGGAUUAGAUACCCCGGUAGUCCACGCCGUAAACGAUGGAUACUAGCUGUUGGAUUUUUUCAGUGGCUAAGCGAAAGUGAUAAGUAUCCCACCUGGGGAGUACGUUCGCAAGAAUGAAACUCAAGGAAUUGACGG
rnacentral:rRNA from 1 species